rnacentral:rRNA from 1 species
AUACGGAGGGGGCUAGCGUUGUUCGGAAUUACUGGGCGUAAAGCGCGCGUAGGCGGAUUGACAAGUUGGAGGUGAAAUCCCGGGGCUCAACCCCGGAACUGCCUUCAAAACUGUCAGUCUUGAGUUCGGAAGAGGUGAGUGGAAUUCCUAGUGUAGAGGUGAAAUUCGUAGAUAUUAGGAAGAACACCAGUGGCGAAGGCGACUCACUGGUCCGAUACUGACGCUGAGGUGCGAAAGCGUGGGGAGCAAACAGGAUUAGAUACCCCAGUAGUCC